AGUACACCUUAAUAAGUGUACUAGUAACAAUUGGAGGGCAAGUCUGGUGCCAGCAGCCGCGGUAAUUCCAGCUCCAAGAGUGUAUACUAAAGCUGUUGCGGUUAAAAAGCUCGUAGUUAAUUCUUAAAUGGUUUUUAGAGGGUCGCAUUUGGGGGGUGAUGAGGGAGCAAUCCUAAGUUGCCUUUCAAAGUGCGGUUCUUGGAAACCAUUUAAAUUAUUUAGGUAUUUACGGCCGCAUUUAACUAUGCGACCGGUUAAAGACUAAAUAGAUUACUUUGAAUAAAUUAAAGUGAUUAAAAGCAAAUUAAAAUUGAAUAAAUUAGCAUAGAAUAAUAAAAACUAUAAAACUAUCACCCUGAAAUAAUUAAAAAUUAUUUUGUUGGUUUUUGAGUUGGACGAUCCCUGGAUUGUCCUCGGCCUCAAGGCCGGGGUUCCUGAUCUUGGGAUAACAGAAAAACAAAGGUCCGAAUUGAAAAAUUGGGGGUGAUAAAAAAGGGGAUGGUUCGAUGGAAUCGUCACCCUUCUACACUAAUUUAAAAUAGAAACAAAUGGGG
rnacentral:rRNA from 1 species